rnacentral:rRNA from 1 species
GAUGAACGCUGGCGGCGUGCCUAAUACAUGCAAGUCGAGCGAACGGACGAGAAGCUUGCUUCUCUGAUGUUAGCGGCGGACGGGUGAGUAACACGUGGAUAACCUACCUAUAAGACUGGGAUAACUUCGGGAAACCGGAGCUAAUACCGGAUAAUAUUUUGAACCGCAUGGUUCAAAAGUGAAAGACGGUCUUGCUGUCACUUAUAGAUGGAUCCGCGCUGCAUUAGCUAGUUGGUAAGGUAACGGCUUACCAAGGCAACGAUGCAUAGCCGACCUGAGAGGGUGAUCGGCCACACUGGAACUGAGACACGGUCCAGACUCCUACGGGAGGCAGCAGUGAGGAAUAUUGGACAAUGGGUGGGAGCCUGAUCCAGCCAUUCCGCGUGCAGGAAGAAGGUCUUAUGGAUUGUAAACUGCUUUUAUAUAGGGAUAAACCUACUCUCGAGAGGGUAGCUGAAGGUACUAUAUGAAUAAGCACCGGCUAACUCCGUGCCAGCAGCCGCGGUAAUACGGAGGGUGCAAGCGUUAUCCGGACUUAUUGGGUUUAAAGGGUCCGUAGGCGGGUUAUUAAGUCAGUGGUGAAAUCCCAUAGCUCAACUAUGAAACUGCCAUUGAUACUGAUAGUCUUGAGUAUAUUUGAAGUAGCUGGAAUAAGUAGUGUAGCGGUGAAAUGCAUAGAUAUUACUUAGAACACCAAUAGCGAAGGCAGGUUACUAAGAUAUUACUGACGCUGAGGGACGAGAGCGUAGGGAGCGAACAGGAUUAGAUACCCUGGUAGUCUACGCUGUAAACGAUGCUAACUCGUUUUUGGUAUUUAGGUAUCAGAGACUAAGCGAAAGUGAUAAGUUAGCCACCUGGGGAGUACGCUCGCAAGAGUGAAACUCAAAGGAAUUGACGGGGGCCCGCACAAGCGGUGGAUUAUGUGGUUUAAUUCGAUGAUACGCGAGGAACCUUACCAAGACUUAAAUGGGAAUUGACAGCUAUAGAGAUAUGGUUUUCUUCGGACAAUUUUCAAGGUGCUGCAUGGUUGUCGUCAGCUCGUGCCGUGAGGUGUUAGGUUAAGUCCUGCAACGAGCGCAACCCUUGUCACUAGUUGCCAUCAUUAAGUUGGGGACUCUAGUGAGACUGCCUACGCAAGUAGAGAGGAAGGUGGGGAUGACGUCAAAUCAUCACGGCCCUUACGUCUUGGGCCACACACGUAAUACAAUGGGCGAUACAGAGGGCAGCUACACAGCGAUGUGAUGCGAAUCUCGAAAGUCGUUCUCAGUUCGGAUUGGAGUCUGCAACUCGACUCUAUGAAGCUGGAAUCGCUAGUAAUCGCGUAUCAGCCAUGACGCGGUGAAUACGUUCCCGGGCCU